AACAGAUACCACUUGGGAACAGAAAAAGCAUGAGAGAGAAGGGGUGGAGUACCACUUUGACUCCAAACACACUUUUGAAAAAGAUAUUCUCAACCACAAGCCAUAGCAGCCUUAUACACCUCCGAGUUUUAACCCUAUGUUGUAUUUGUGAAGCCCCCAUCAAUAGAUCGCUUGAGACUGAGUCAAAGAAAUGCAAAAGUACUGUCAAGUCAGAAUGAACAAGCACUUACAAAAAUAUUUACGGAGGAAGACUUUCAGGAUAUGAUUACCAGUGCCCAAGCCAUGGAGAAUAAAUACGGCCACUUGUUUGAGAAUGUGAUCA
ensembl:lncRNA